UAAGCGACUAAGCGUACACGGUGGAUGCCCUGGCAGUCAGAGGCGAUGAAGGACGUGCUAAUCUGCGAUAAGCGUCGGUAAGGUGAUAUGAACCGUUAUAACCGGCGAUUUCCGAAUGGGGAAACCCAGUGUGAUUCGUCACACUAUCAUUAACUGAAUCCAUAGGUUAAUGAGGCGAACCGGGGGAACUGAAACAUCUAAGUACCCCGAGGAAAAGAAAUCAACCGAGAUUCCCCCAGUAGCGGCGAGCGAACGGGGAGCAGCCCAGAGCCUGAAUCAGUGUGUGUGUUAGUGGAAGCGUCUGGAAAGGCGCGCGAUACAGGGUGACAGCCCCGUACACAAAAAUGCACAUACUGUGAGCUCGAUGAGUAGGGCGGGACACGUGGUAUCCUGUCUGAAUAUGGGGGGACCAUCCUCCAAGGCUAAAUACUCCUGACUGACCGAUAGUGAACCAGUACCGUGAGGGAAAGGCGAAAAGAACCCCGGCGAGGGGAGUGAAAAAGAACCUGAAACCGUGUACGUACAAGCAGUGGGAGCACAGAGCAAUCUGUGUGACUGCGUACCUUUUGUAUAAUGGGUCAGCGACUUAUAUUCUGUAGCAAGGUUAACCGAAUAGGGGAGCCGAAGGGAAACCGAGUCUUAACUGGGCGUUAAGUUGCAGGGUAUAGACCCGAAACCCGGUGAUCUAGCCAUGGGCAGGUUGAAGGUUGGGUAACACUAACUGGAGGACCGAACCGACUAAUGUUGAAAAAUUAGCGGAUGACUUGUGGCUGGGGGUGAAAGGCCAAUCAAACCGGGAGAUAGCUGGUUCUCCCCGAAAGCUAUUUAGGUAGCGCCUCGUGAAUUCAUCUCCGGGGGUAGAGCACUGUUUCGGCAAGGGGGUCAUCCCGACUUACCAACCCGAUGCAAACUGCGAAUACCGGAGAAUGUUAUCACGGGAGACACACGGCGGGUGCUAACGUCCGUCGUGAAGAGGGAAACAACCCAGACCGCCAGCUAAGGUCCCAAAGUCAUGGUUAAGUGGGAAACGAUGUGGGAAGGCCCAGACAGCCAGGAUGUUGGCUUAGAAGCAGCCAUCAUUUAAAGAAAGCGUAAUAGCUCACUGGUCGAGUCGGCCUGCGCGGAAGAUGUAACGGGGCUAAACCAUGCACCGAAGCUGCGGCAGCGACGCUGAUGCGUUGUUGGGUAGGGGAGCGUUCUGUAAGCCUGCGAAGGUGUGCUGUGAGGCAUGCUGGAGGUAUCAGAAGUGCGAAUGCUGACAUAAGUAACGAUAAAGCGGGUGAAAAGCCCGCUCGCCGGAAGACCAAGGGUUCCUGUCCAACGUUAAUCGGGGCAGGGUGAGUCGACCCCUAAGGCGAGGCCGAAAGGCGUAGUCGAUGGGAAACAGGUUAAUAUUCCUGUACUUGGUGUUACUGCGAAGGGGGACGGAGAAGGCUAUGUUGGCCGGGCGACGGUUGUCCCGGUUUAAGCGUGUAGGCUGGUUUUCCAGGCAAAUCCGGAAAAUCAAGGCUGAGGCGUGAUGACGAGGCACUACGGUGCUGAAGCAACAAAUGCCCUGCUUCCAGGAAAAGCCUCUAAGCAUCAGGUAACAUCAAAUCGUACCCCAAACCGACACAGGUGGUCAGGUAGAGAAUACCAAGGCGCUUGAGAGAACUCGGGUGAAGGAACUAGGCAAAAUGGUGCCGUAACUUCGGGAGAAGGCACGCUGAUAUGUAGGUGAAGCGACUUGCUCGUGGAGCUGAAAUCAGUCGAAGAUACCAGCUGGCUGCAACUGUUUAUUUAAAAACACAGCACUGUGCAAACACGAAAGUGGACGUAUACGGUGUGACGCCUGCCCGGUGCCGGAAGGUUAAUUGAUGGGUCAGCGCAAGCGAAGCUCUUGAUCGAAGCCCGGUAAAAGGCGGCCGUAACUAUAACGGGUCCUAAGGUAGCGAAAUUCCUUGUCGGGUAAGUUCCGACCUGCACGAAUGGCGUAAUGAUGGCCAGGCUGUCUCCACCCGAGACUCAGUGAAAUUGAACUCGCUGUGAAGAUGCAGUGUACCCGCGGCAAGACGGAAAGACCCCGUGAACCUUUACUAUAGCUUGACACUGAACAUUGAGCCUUGAUGUGUAGGAUAGGUGGGAGGCUUUGAAGUGUGGACGCCAGUCUGCAUGGAGCCGACCUUGAAAUACCACCCUUUAAUGUUUGAUGUUCUAACGUGGACCCGUGAUCCGGGUUGCGGACAGUGUCUGGUGGGUAGUUUGACUGGGGCGGUCUCCUCCUAAAGAGUAACGGAGGAGCACGAAGGUUGGCUAAUCCUGGUCGGACAUCAGGAGGUUAGUGCAAUGGCAUAAGCCAGCUUGACUGCGAGCGUGACGGCGCGAGCAGGUGCGAAAGCAGGUCAUAGUGAUCCGGUGGUUCUGAAUGGAAGGGCCAUCGCUCAACGGAUAAAAGGUACUCCGGGGAUAACAGGCUGAUACCGCCCAAGAGUUCUUAUCGACGGCGGUGUUUGGCACCUCGAUGUCGGCUCAUCACAUCCUGGGGCUGAAGUAGGUCCCAAGGGUAUGGCUGUUCGCCAUUUAAAGUGGUACGCGAGCUGGGUUUAGAACGUCGUGAGACAGUUCGGUCCCUAUCUGCCGUGGGCGCUGGAGAACUGAGGGGGGCUGCUCCUAGUACGAGAGGACCGGAGUGGACGCAUCACUGGUGUUCGGGUUGUCAUGCCAAUGGCACUGCCCGGUAGCUAAAUGCGGAAGAGAUAAGUGCUGAAAGCAUCUAAGCACGAAACUUGCCCCGAGAUGAGUUCUCCCUGACUCCUUGAGAGUCCUGAAGGAACGUUGAAGACGACGACGUUGAUAGGCCGGGUGUGUAAGCGCAGCGAUGCGUUGAGCUAACCGGUACUAAUGAACCGUGAGGCUUAACCU
rnacentral:rRNA from 1 species